GCAAGAACAUCAGCCUGCAGAGAAGAAAAAUGGAGGACUGCUUUAUUCUGCGGUACAUCCACAAUAGUACAGCAAAUAAAGUAGUUAAAUAUGCGCUAAGAUUUAAGACCUUUUAAAAGGUAAGUAGUGAUCUAAAAGGUCUUGUAUUAGUUUGAAGAGGGAGCACAUAAUAAGACUGUAAGCCAGUACAUCAAAGUAAUGACGGCUUCCCAUUGAUUUCAUCAAACUAAUAUGACAAAGGGAAGGUGAAACUUCAGAAAACCAUAUAAAUUGACCACGAUGUCUUAAUUUAAAACUCUGAAAUGAAGUAAUAAACAUUAAGUCUGAAUGUUGUCACUAAAAAAGCAUAAAAAAAGCAGACCAGCCAGGAGUGCAUCAUAAUCAGUGGUUCAUCAUGCGCAAACCAGGCAGCAGUAGCCUAAUAACUUAGACGGAAAAAAUGCAAGAAGUCAAAGCACAAGGUGGGAAAUAGGACCGAGCAUUGACAGGUAACCAAAUAAUGAAAGAAUAUCCCCAUGAAAAUCAAGAACGGUACAUUAGCAUCCAGAAGUACAUAGAAACAAACAUUCCGCUUGGCAGAGUGUGAUCUCAGUAUGAUGUCAAUAGCUGGGACUAAGAAGGUAACCACGUAGAGUGUCACACCUAAGGCGUUUGCUUACGUCUCUAGUCUCUAGUAAUACAACUCACUAUUGAUUGAUUUAACUAAGGUAUUCUUCAGCUGGGUAUUUAUAAAGGGAAUUCACUAUGCUUUUUUACCAGCGAGUAGAGAGCAACUGAAGGACUUAUGUUUCUAAAUGCAAGAACAAACCUCACCAGGCUGCUGUGCAGACUUAUUGUCCGUGGAAGAUGCUACAGCUGAGCAAAAUUGGCUUGGGAUUUCUUCUAUGCCUGCUGCUCCCUCCUGCAGCAAUUAUUUGGAACAACAAAACAAUUUACUGUGAGAUGAGAGAAGGCACACUAAAGAAGCACAUCCAUAAGUGUAUAUCUAAUAAUAUAGAUGCUACAAAUCAAUAGAACUAAAAUACUCCAGCAAUUGGGAUCAGCUAGAUCUAUGUCUACAUCACCAAAUCAGAAGUUUAGUUACCUGUGGUUCGCUUGAUAGCAGUUGCAGGUUUUCAUGCGCUGAACUCAAGAACCGACCAGCAGCGACCAAAUCUAAGCACAACCAUCCCUCACAAUUUGAAUUCUACCCCAGCAAGUACAGACACGUCCUCUGCAACCUCAUACAGGUACGAAAGCGUCAUAAAGCACACCGCACUACGCCGCCACCACGACCUCCAAAACAUGUAUAACGACUGAAAUAAGCGGACGCAUUCUGUUCACACACAAGCAUGACAUAUAAGUGGGACGAGGCCGAACAAUACACGAUGGCGUGCCAGAU
rnacentral:lncRNA from 1 species